AGUGAACGCUGGCGGUAGGCCUAACACAUGCAAGUCGAACGGCAGCACAGUAAGAGCUUGCUCUUACGGGUGGCGAGUGGCGGACGGGUGAGGAAUACAUCGGAAUCUACUUUUUCGUGGGGGAUAACGUAGGGAAACUUACGCUAAUACCGCAUACGACCUACGGGUGAAAGCAGGGGAUCUUCGGACCUUGCGCGAUUGAAUGAGCCGAUGUCGGAUUAGCUAGUUGGCGGGGUAAAGGCCCACCAAGGCGACGAUCCGUAGCUGGUCUGAGAGGAUGAUCAGCCACACUGGAACUGAGACACGGUCCAGACUCCUACGGGAGGCAGCAGUGGGGAAUAUUGGACAAUGGGCGUAAGCCUGAUCCAGCCAUACCGCGUGGGUGAAGAAGGCCUUCGGGUUGUAAAGCCCUUUUGUUGGGAAAGAAAAGCAGCAGGUUAACACCCCGCUGUUCUGACGGUACCCAAAGAAUAAGCACCGGCUAACUUCGUG
rnacentral:rRNA from 1 species